CCUACGGGUGGCAGCAGUGGGGGAUAUUGGACAAUGGGGGAAACCCUGAUCCAGCGACGCCGCGUGAGUGAAGAAGUAUUUCGGAAUGUAAAGCUCUAUCAGAAGGGAAGAAAGAAAUGACGGUACCGUAGAAGGAAGCCCGGCCUAACUACGUCCCAGCAGCCGCGUUAAUACGUAGGGGGCAAGCGUUAGCCGGAUUUAUUGGGUGGAAAGGGAGCGAAGAGGGUAAGGCAAGUCUGGAGUGAAAGGCGGGGGCCCAACCCCCGGACUGCUCUGGAAACUGUGUAACUGGAGUGCAGGAGAGGCAGGCGGAAUUCCUAGGGUAGCGGUGAAAUGCGUAGAUAUUAGGAGGAACACCAGUGGCGAAGGCGGCCUGCUGGACUGUAACUGACGUUGAGGCUCGAAAGCGUGGGGAGCAAACAGGAUUAGAUACCCUUGUAGUC
rnacentral:rRNA from 1 species